rnacentral:rRNA from 1 species
GUGAGUAACACGUGGGUAACCUGCCUGUAAGAUUGGGAUAACUCCGGGAAACCGGAGCUAAUACCGGAUAACAUUUCGAACCGCAUGGUUCGAAAUUGAAAGAUGGUUUCGGCUAUCACUUACAGAUGGACCCGCGGCGCAUUAGCUAGUUGGUGAGGUAACGGCUCACCAAGGCAACGAUGCGUAGCCGACCUGAGAGGGUGAUCGGCCACACUGGGACUGAGACACGGCCCAGACUCCUACGGGAGGCAGCAGUAGGGAAUCUUCCGCAAUGGACGAAAGUCUGACGGAGCAACGCCGCGUGAACGAUGAAGGCCUUCGGGUCGUAAAGUUCUGUUGUUAGGGAAGAACAAGUACCAGAGUAACUGCUGGUACCUUGACGGUACCUAACCAGAAAGCCACGGCUAACUACGUGCCAGCAGCCGCGGUAAUACGUAGGUGGCAAGCGUUGUCCGGAAUUAUUGGGCGUAAAGCGCGCGCAGGCGGUUUCUUAAGUCUGAUGUGAAAGCCCACGGCUCAACCGUGGAGGGUCAUUGGAAACUGGGGAACUUGAGUGCAGAAGAGGAGAGUGGAAUUCCACGUGUAGCGGUGAAAUGCGUAGAGAUGUGGAGGAACACCAGUGGCGAAGGCGACUCUGUGGUCUGUAACUGACGCUGAGGCGCGAAAGCGUGGGGAGCGAACAGGAUUAGAUACCCUGGUAGUCCACGCCGUAAACGAUGAGUGCUAAGUGUUAGAGGGUUUCCGCCCUUUAGUGCUGCAGCAAAC